UACGAAGGGGGCUAGCGUUGCUCGGAAUCACUGGGCGUAAAGGGUGCGUAGGCGGGUCUUUUAAGUCAGGGGUGAAAUCCUGGAGCUCAACUCCAGAACUGCCUUUGAUACUGAGGAUCUUGAGUUCGGGAGAGGUGAGUGGAACUGCGAGUGUAGAGGUGAAAUUCGUAGAUAUUCGCAAGAACACCAGUGGCGAAGGCGGCCAACUGGUCCGGUACUGACGCUGAGGUGCGAAAGCGUGGGGAGCAAACAGG
rnacentral:rRNA from 1 species